GAUGAACGCUGGCGGCGUGCCUAAUACAUGCAAGUCGAGCGAACGGACGAUAAGCUUGCUUCUCUGAGGUUAGCGGCUGACGGGUGAGUAACACGUGGAUAACCUACCUAUAAGACUGGGAUAACUUCGGGAAACCGUAGCUAAUACCGGAUAAUAUGUUGAACCGCAUGGUUCAAAAGUGCAAGGCGGUUUUGCUGUCACUUAUAGAUGGAUCCGCGCUGCCUUGGCUAGUUGGUAAGGUAACGCCUACCAAGGCAACGAUGCAUAGCCGACCUGAGAGGGUGAUCGGCCACACUGGAACUGAGACACGGUCCAGACUCCUACGGGAGGCAGCAGUAGGGAAUCUUCCGCAAUGGGCGAAAGCCUGACGGAGCCACGCCGCGUGAGUGAUGAAGGUCUUCGGAUCGUAAAACUCUGUUAUUAGGGAAGAACAUAUGUGUAAGUAACUGUGCACAUCUUGACGGUACCUAAUCAGAAAGCCACGGCUAACUACGUG
rnacentral:rRNA from 1 species